rnacentral:lncRNA from 1 species
UUUCAGGACAUAGUGGAUGUUCAAGAAAGGACAAGAGCAACCUUCAUAAGAAUAACAACAUGUUCUUGCUGUGGACUUCUUUCUACUGUGAUUGCUGAAAUCAAGGUGUUAGAUGUAAGCCUCCUUCCUGUUCUGGAAAGUGACUAAUUCUGUGAAGAAUGCCCAGGAAGGAAGAAAAGAUUCUUUGGGGAUAUUACAACAAAUCCAUGGUAUUUCGAUGCUAACACCCUUGAGACAACCGAGAGACAAAGGCAGAACAAAUGCAUGGCCUAGCAUGACCUGUUCCAGCAAAGGAGAGGGAACUGUGGAGGAAGUCUGAGAGAACUAACUGGGUGUCAAGUGUUAAACAAAUAAUAGUAUUGGGACACACAUUUGGCUAAGCUGGAAGUUUUCACCAAAGAAGAUCAAUUUAGAAGCUAUCAGUGAUAUCUUCUACCUAUCCUUUCCAGGCAGUCUCUACAGGAAUUCCCAGGCAUAAUGUGAAUGCCCAAAGUCCACAAAGGAACAGAAUUAAGACCAAGAUUGACAAGAUGUUCUCUGGUAUAAAUACAGUUGAAGCAUUGGGUGGAAGUUCAAAUCUGCACUGAAGCAAGUAGAAUUCGGAUACGUCACAUUAGACAACUCCAGAGAACUCAGCUCCCCCACAGGCCUGAAUUAUUUGUAUACAGAUAAAAGAAAAUGUAAUCUGUCUUCCCUGCAUCAGAAAAAUCUACCUGCCUGUGGGUGGCUGCAGCCUCAAGGCUGAGAGCAUCUCCUUACCACAGCAGCAGCAGUUAAGCAGCAGCAGUAGACUGGCCAGCUGUGCGGCUUCCCAGGAUGGGCAAGCAAGAAAUCAUCCUGGUAACGGAACUUCUCUGGUCCACAUGCAAUAAAAAUGUCAUCGUCACCAAAAAAGUCCUGAAGGCACAUCACCUACAAGAGAAAAGCAUAGUUCUCAGCCAGGGGUCCACACAACAGCGAUCACAACACCACCUCCCCCCCCUGCAUAGACUUCUCCAUAAAGCCAUUUUCCUCUAAUGGAAUCAACAGGGGGAUUUCAAAGGCUCGGCUGUGCAUCUGUUAUCAGUAAGGAACGAGUUAGUCUCAGGUCUGCAGGAAGGCAGAGAAGGCGACUGGGCGGGUAACUGUCACAUUUAUGACUGGAAACAUCAACAGGCUAUGAGGUAAGAGCUCUUUGUUUCCAUAACAUUGGGGAUUCAGCUACUCGGACCCCAGAGCCCCCCAGCUUCUGAGUGUAAGUCCCAAAAGCAAGGAGAGCCAGUGCACGGGUUUAACUGCAGACGUGCUGCUGUUGGUAAGUAACAGCACUAUGUGUUCACAACAACCACUGAGAAAAGCGGUAUAGUAUUACAACUUGUAGGCCCAGUCCAUCUCUCGUUGAAAUAAACUGAAACCCUUAGAAGAGGAAGAGCUG